rnacentral:rRNA from 1 species
UGCGCAGGCGGCUCCGCAUGUCGGGCGUGAAAUCCCCGGGCUUAACCUGGGAAUUGCGUCCGAAACUAUGGAGCUGGAGUGUGGCAGAGGGAGGUGGAAUUCCACGUGUAGCGGUGAAAUGCGUAGAGAUGUGGAGGAACACCGAUGGCGAAGGCAGCCUCCUGGGCCAACACUGACGCUCAUGCACGAAAGCGUGGGGAGCAAACAGGAUUAGAUACCCUGGUAGUCCACGCCCUAAACGAUGAUGACUAGUUGUUGGAGGAGUUAAAUCCUUUAGUAACGCAGCUAACGCGAGAAGUCAUCCGCCUGGGGAGUACGGUCGCAAGAUUAAA